rnacentral:rRNA from 1 species
AUGAGUCGGCACCCUGAAGUCAGGUGGGCUCAAAGGAUUGACAAGGUGUAUAUCACAGUACAAUUGCCUGACGCAAAGGAUGCCAAGGUCAAGCUGGAACCUGAUGGUGUAUUCUCUUUCUUUGCCACUGCUGGAACUGAUGGGAACUCCUAUGAAUCAAAACUGGAUUUGAAUGACAAAGUGAAUGUCGAGGCAAGCAAAGUAAGUGUUGGUGUCAGGUCCAUAUUCUGUAUUUUGGAAAAAGCCGACGCCAAAUGGUGGAAUAAGCUUGUUCCAGAUGAUCAGAAGGCACCACACUUCGUGAAAGUUGAUUGGGACAAAUGGGUCGAUGAAGAUGAUGAUGGUGCUGAUGUUAAUGUUGAUGGGAUGGACUUUUCGAAUAUGGGUGGCAUGGGCGGUAUGCCUGGCAUGGAAGGUUUGGGCGGCAUGGGUGGCAUGCCCGGCAUGGAAGGUUUGGGUGGCAUGGGUGGUAUGGGUGGUCUGGCUGGUAUGAUGGGUGGAAUGGGCGGUAUGGGUGGUAUGGGCAUGCCGCCUGGUAUGGAAGGUUUGGGUGGUAUGGGGAUGGAUGAUUUUGAGGAUGAGAGUGACGACGAAGGAGAAGUGUCGAAACCUCAAGACGCAGGGAAGUCUGAUGCUGCGGAAAUCUCCGAGGUGGAAGGCAAAGCUGGCACAGCUGCUCAGAGCAACUGA